rnacentral:lncRNA from 1 species
CAAGGAGAGAGAGGGAAGUUGAGAGAGACGGCCAAGAUGUGAGAAAAAUGUGGAGGCAGGAAUGGAGGUGGAGCAGAGCAGCACUCUGAGGAGGAUAAGGAGCUGUGGCCAAAGCCUUGAGCCUUGGUAACCUGGAGCUGGAGCCCAUCCCUCCAGAAGAGAAAUUCACUCCUUGCUUUGAAGAGAGAGUGCUGAGGCAUCCGCUGCAUUCCUUCCUGACGUGUUCCAGUGCUUGGCUGCCCUCAUUCCAAACCAGAUGUCUCCUCUCUGAUGUGAAUGCUGCUGACUGCAGAUUCCUGCCAUUGGGCCUUCUUCUGCCUGUUCCUGAUGGAGGUGAGGAGCUCCAGGUUGUUGGAUACCCAGG